UUGUAUUUGUGUGUGGAUUUUUGAGACUGUCCUGACGGUAUAUGACACACAAAUGUGCUCAGCCAAUCACAUCAGCCGGCGUUCGAGCGUAAGGUUGAAGACAUUGCGCUUCUAUUACGCAGAGAAGGCUACUAGUGCGAAGCCACCAUAGAUCUUUAUACACCGAUCAGAGGAAAUAACCGGAAGUAGAGCCAUUACUGAAGUGCUCCCUGACGUAAACUCGUAAUUGAGGCGUAUGAAGUUCCUGACUUUCACAUCAUCUUUGUACAAAUAUGUCUGGAUCUGGACUAACGUGUGCCGUAAUCGGAUGUCACAAUAACAGCAGAACGCUAAAAAUGUGGAAAAAGAGCGUAUGUGCGCUUCAUAGUCCACAGUUUAAAGAGGAUUGUCCUUGUUGUGUGCCCUACGGUGUAAACCGCUUCCCCGGCCGUGCUGAGGAUGAAGACAUUCGCAAGAUAUGGAUUAAAAAACUACACCGAAAGGACUUUGCCCCCAAACAAGUAUUCAAUGGUGUGUGGAGUAUACUUCCCUGACGGCAGACCAACGCAGGAACACCCAUAUCCCAUAUUUAAUAUGGGAUAUGAAUAUAGUAAAGCACUAUCAUGUGGAAGACCACCCCCGAAGAGGAGAUGUCUCCAGCCCCCAACAGAGAGACUUGGAUUAAUGUUGAGAGGAUUAUUGUUCAAUACGGUGCAGAAACACUUGGUUCAGUUAUAUGUAUAUAUAUCAAUCAUCUUUCAAGAAAUCCUUCAUCCCCUCAGCUGUGACCAUACUGAACAAGAUAUGAACUGUCCAGCUGCAGCAUGAAUGUAUUGUGUGGUCGUCUUUUUUUUUUUUUUUUUUUGGUCAAGCCUUGUCUAAUGUCUGUGAGAAUCACUGAAGUCACGCCAAAGACAAUUUUCUGUUUCAUGGUUGUAACAGACAAUAAAGUUUUAUCUAAUCUCAUCAUAUCAAUGAGAAUCAGUGCACCUGACAAAGGUAUGACAUACUGUAUACUGUAGGCUUAAGUGCUAAAGGAAAAUGAAUUAACCUUAGCGGUUUUGAAUUGUUUAUUUACACAGUUAUUAAAAUGCAUACAGAUAGUGAAUGUAAUAUAGUUCAAUACUGUGUGCUUACUCGAUGGUGUUUUUUUAUAUGUGCUG